GUAUCCGUGACCUGGAGUCAGCUCUACAGGUGGAGAAGUCUAGUCAGGCUGAAGCUGUGUCCAGUCUGGACAUGAUCAAACAACAGUUCAGAGAGGUGGAGAGAGCCUACAGCAUAGAGAGAGACAGGGCACGGGARGCUACUGGCAGACUGGCACAGCUGGAGAAGGUACACCUAGAGUUCUAAG